UGCGUAGGGUGCAAGCGUUAAUCGGAAUUACUGGGCGUAAAGCGUGCGCAGGCGGUUAUGUAAGACAGGUGUGAAAUCCCAGGGCUUAACCUUGGAACUGCAUUUGUGACUGCAUAGCUAGAGUACGGUAGAGGGGGAUGGAAUUCCGCGUGUAGCAGUGAAAUGCGUAGAUAUGCGGAGGAACACCGAUGGCGAAGGCAAUCCCCUGGACCUGUACUGACGCUCAUGCACGAAAGCGUGGGGAGCAAACAGG
rnacentral:rRNA from 1 species